GACCCAGUGGCGGACGGUACGGCACCCGCGCCGUUUAAAUAAAUAAAAAAUGGGCUGUGGAUGGUCCUGGUUCAAUUCCAGGCUGGGUCA